CUUGCCAUAACGAAUGUAAGAGCUCAAGAUUUUCAGAAAGCUUCAGAACCUCUGCCAGUACUUGGGUUAAUAUACAACUGUUGGUAACAAAGUAACCCACAAAACACAGAACAGCCCUGCAUAGCACAGGUAACACAUUACACAUUUCUAAGCUGAGAUUUUGGGCCUUGUAACAGGCUGAAUAUUGCACCUUACAGAAAAGCAGAGCUAUGAGAAGAAGAGUUCAGUGGCAGAAGCUGUUCCUUUGUUGUACCUACACAAAGAAGUUCCUGAUGCCCAGAUUCUGGAUGUCCUCCAUUUAAACCUUUGGGAGAAUAAAAAGACAAAAAACAAAGAGCCCACAAAGCUCAUUCAUUGACAGGGACUGCAAGAGCUCCUAAAACAGCAUGGUAAGGAACUUAGCAAACAUUCCCAUACCAAGACAUGAUAGAGACUCCACUUGCAUACAAUCAUCUUUUUUUGAUCAACAGUGGGGUCUUCUGAUAUUAUGUAUUGGCAGCCACUACCCUCACUCCAAGCUCAAGCCUACUGCCAGCAUCUGGUAAAUUCAAGCUGUGGGGUCUGAGACUACUUUCUUCCAAGGAUCUCCACGGAAAAAGCCUUUUUAAAAAGCCUUUUUAAAGCCUUUUUAAAAGCCACGUGCUCACCCACUCCCCUCUUAUUGUCUCCCACAGACACAUACUUCAUUAGUGCAAUAAGGAAUCAGAUUAAGAACAUUUCUCUUCCACCCGAGUCAAAUACCCCACUACUGUGCUGCAUCAGAUGUAUUAAGAAGUGAAGAUAACAGAUAUUAGGAGACCUAUUUCACUGUCCAUCUUAAACAUCUGUGCUAUAACCUUGAUGUGAAUGGCCUUCAUCUUCUGUCUGCUCAGAUAUUAGUGAUUAGUCUUAAAAGAAACCCUAUGAAGUUUUGACAUAGUUCUCACAGGCUCAAAUGAUACACCAGGUUUGCCCAGCCAUUUGUUCCACAUACAUAGAGCCUCUGAAUACAGAAAGAAUUGAGAAGGAUGCACCUUCAGGAACCACCCACCAGCACAGAUCCUUUGCAAAUUCAGCCCGCAAUUUCCAUAGCUGGGAAACCCAGUGAUCCAGCAGGGAAAUCCAGGCAAUUUACAGUUUGCACAUGUUUCUGGAGAAAUGUGUAUUUCGUAGCUGACACGCAAACAGCUCACUGUACAAAGCUGCAGCCUUAAACACUAUGAAAUGCCACAAGUUGAAUCCGUGGGUUUCCACAAGAAACACAACAUCAGCCUGUUACUACUGUGUUACUUACGUCAGCUGCAGAACUUGGUCCUCCAUCAAGGAAAUAAGAGGACAGAUGACUAUUCCUGUACCUCCAGUGUAAACAGGAGGAAACUGGUAGCACAAACUCUUCCCAUAUCCUUAAAAAAAAAAAGAAAAAAACAACAAAGGUAGAAAUGAAACAACACAUAGUUGUUAUAUUUUAUGGCACAGUUGUCUUAUGCUUCUGUACUAACUAUUUACUGAGUCCUAAAAAGGAAGCUGACACGUGCCCCAUUAGCAGACAAAAAUGCAGGAUAAAUACUGUUGGCAUCCACUCAAUGCCACUUCCUCCAAGGUCAGUGGGAAAAAAAACUGGACAGAAAUACAAGCAGCAAGCACAGGUGGCCAAGAUUUGCAGCCUCCAACAGAAAAGGUGAGUCCUGAGCACUCUGCUCCUAAGAGCCAUGUGGACAGUCUUCAAGUUUCAAAGCCUUAACCUCCCCCAAAAGAGAAAGAUUUCUUGCCACCUUUUAAGACAUAAAAAUAACUUACCAGUUGCCAUGACAACAAGAUUGUCUCUUUUGUCUUCUAAAACAGAAUGUAUCACUUUCCACUGAACCCUUUGAAUUAAAGGAAGAAGAAUACGUUUUAUUUUUGCCAUCACAUGUAUAAUGUGGCAAAUUGUGCUGAUGAAAUCCUUUUGGCUGCCUGACAGUCUUCUCUUUGCAUACUGCAACCACUCACGCCAUAUUUACUUGACUGCAGUUAGUCCUACCAGUGUUACAGUGGGGAUCUCUAACAGAACUAAAGUAGGCAACACUUGAGGUAGUCAUUCAAAGAAGACUGCAAAAUAACAUCUCCCCUAUGUCAGGAAGUGAUCCACAAAUACUCAAGAAACUACAGUUAUCUUUCAUAAAAGGAUUCUAAACAGGACUUCAGUGUUGCCAAACAAUUUUGAUUUUUAAUGGUCUCACGGGUAUACAUAAUGUGCAGUGAAUUAAAACAGAAAUUCUCCCCUUUGUAAUGUCUAACAGUUUACCAAACAGCUGUGUCCUUUUUUUUGUUUGUUUGUUUUGUGCUUCUUUAUCUUUCAAGCCCCAAGCAUUGCUCUUUCAGUACAUUCCGUGCAACAUGUGGUCUAACACAAGUCAUUCAGGAUGAUCUCACUCCACACCCAUUGAUAUCAGAAACUCUUAACAGCAAUGCUGGAAUCUACGAGCACACAUUACACUGAAAUUAUGCCCCAUUAGAUGUUCUAGAGAUAAAUAGGAGCCUGUCUUCAAUUAGAGCCACACGUCAAAGACGAUGGAAGUUUAUCAUCAUACAAAGAACACACUUGUGUUCUUUGCAAGUUAAUAGUGUUUUCUCUUUGAAAUAUCUGAGCUAGACCAGGGAAGAAAUAUUCACUCACAGAAGGCUUGCCACCAGAAAAAGCAAGAAAUGUAUCCUCUACUAUGAACAUACAGUAUUGUAGUAAAUGGACUUUAUUUUGCUAUUUCACUGUAGCAAAGGCUGCCUUCGCUGGGGAUUCUGCACAGCUCCAAGUUUGUUAGUGGUUCUUAAAGUAGAAAACAAAAAAAACAAAAAACCAAGCUGAAAAAAGGGAAAGAAAGUGUAUUGAAGAUGUACUUACGGUUUAAAAGAAGAAUGCCCAAAAUAUGUCUUCAGACAUGCGAUGUGGAUUUCACUAGGCACUGACAGCAAUGGAUCUUUAGGGGGAGACAGAAAAGGCCUUAUAUGCAACUGAAUUUUAAACAGAUGAAGCUUUGUCUUGACAUUCCGCUUGUGGUUAGUGAUGCUUAGGCCUAAGCUUUGGACAACCCCAGUAGAAAGAGAUAUAUCAAGUUCUGAACACAUUUAUAGGCUAAAAUAAAGGAUCAACAGAGGAACAAACACACACCUCAGAGACUCUUUGUGAAGAAGAACGGAUAUGGCAUUGUUAAUGAGAUAACAAAGCAAUGGACUCUGCAUAACUACAUUAUCUGGAACAUGCUCAGAAGAAGUAAUAGGGAUGUUCUACCAUUCAUCCCUUUUAAGACUUUAUGGAAGUUAUUUAUUUAACACCUGACACUGCAAUUCGCUAACAAAGUCAUGGUCUGAAAAUGUCAUAGGGGAGGAUCCUGAUCUUGCUGUGAACGACAAAGAAAACCACUCAAAAUUCCAUUUAAAUUUAUAGCUAUUACUCAGCAGUGGAAUGGAAUAAUUUUUGUCUGCUGAGCAAACACAUGCUCCCUGUAAUAGUUUGCUGAGCAAUUGUUUAAAGAGAUGAAGAGAGUCUACUGAUCAUGGCAAGAGUCAACUGUGUUUCACCAAGGACACCUUUAAGUUUUCAUCUUGACAUAUCCUCAAUCACUCCUUUCAAAAUCCAGAUCAGCUUUUACUCUCUGCUUUAAGAAACUAAGCACAAAAUAUCAGUGUUUACACAACCAAUUCUAUAGAGAACACCCUUUUUUUUCCCCCCCCUCUCCAUUCUGCACUAUAAUUUAAAACAUACCCCAACAUUCCUCCUCAUCCUCUUCAAUGACUUCAUCUUCAUCCCCAUCUGGUGCGACGUUCAAUUCUGUGUCCGGAGUUUUCCUGGCUUUGCUGGACUCCCUUUCAGUUGGAACUUCUUUAGAAUUGUCCACAUCUUCUAAAGACUGAAUUCAGAAGAAGUUAAUUCAAGAUAUGAAAGGGUAGACACUACGCAUACCUGAGGUAACAAGACAUAGGGACACACGACUACAGCAUGGAAGAUGGACAUGAAGCACUGCAUCAUAAGAAAAAAAGAAAACACAAAACAUCUAAAAAAAUCUGAAGUGCCUUAAUGAUGUAACACCUUUUUUCCCCAGGAUGCCUGCAAAACAUACAGCAUCGAAGCAACCUAUUUGACCUAUUGUUCAGAUUAACAGCACCUGCAGUAAUCUGAAUGCAUGACACACAGCAAACCAACUGACGCACAACCAUCAACAAAAGUGCAGGAAACGGGUAGGUCAAAAGUCUAAGCUGCUACAGUGAAGAUGUGACAAAACGUGGGAUACUGAGGUCCUACAAUGGUAAAUGCAGUUCUUCAUCUACCCACAUAUUCUUCUAUCCACCUUUUGUAAGCAACACCUAUUUGUUUAAUUCCCUCCACUCAACGAUGCUAUGUUGUGCUGUGACCUGACAGCAUCAUCACUGGGGAAAAAAAAAAAGUGGAUAAGCCAAACCCCUGAGGCACUCACUUUAAGCAUCUCCAUUUCCAGUUCUUCAUCACUUUCAAUGAUACAGGAGGUAUUUUGGUCGUUGUCUGUUGGGCAUUCCUCCUAAGAAGAAAAUACAUGCGUACAAAGAUAUUUCUAUUUUUACCCACCUUUUGCUACAAAUUACUUCUCUGUAUGCAUUUACUUCUCAGUGAAAAAAAAAAAUUAAACUAAGCUCAACGUUCAGUUCUGAAACCCAGCCAAAAUGAUGCAAAUCUACAAAGAGUUAAAACACAACAAGGCCCUAUAGUAGGAGGCAAAACCAACAGUAUUACCAAAUGUGGGAAAGACUUGGAACGUAAAGAAAUGACGGCCUCAUUUAAGAGGCAUCAACCCAUAUAAAGCAGUCACUAGAAGGACUGUCAUUCAGAGAUUCAUUUAAGAUCUACUUUUUAUUCAUGACCAAGGUUGAGAUGUUUGAGUGCAGAAUUUGUCCCCAUACUGCAGAAACUUAACAUCACAGUUUAUUAGUAACUACAAGAGGAAAGCUAAUCAGAAUAUCAUUAAUGAACUAAAUGAAUAUAUUGGCUUCUGUACUCAGUAGUCCUCCCAACUACAUAACUGAAGAGCAACUCAGUGCUUGACCACCCACACAAAUAUUUUCCAGACUCUGAGCCCUUACUCUAGCCCACCCUAAAUUGCUCUUACCAAGACUUCUUAAAAUUUUGUGGGAAAGUAAGGAUAAGAUCAGCUCCUCUGGUGAGCAUCCAUGACUAAUGAGGGACUCUGUCAUUACCUCAGGCACAGCUUUGUUGAGAACUUCUUCUGCAGCCUGACGUUCCAAUAUCUGUAGUUCUUGCUCAUUAAAGUCUAACGACAUGAAGUCA